AAUCAACGCUGGCGGCGUGCCUCAGACAUGCAAGUCGAACGAGAACCUCCCUUCGGGGAGGAGACAGUGGCGCACGGGUGAGUAACACGUGGGUAAUUUACCUUUGGGUGGGGAACAACAGCCGGAAACGGCUGCUAAUACCGCAUAAUGCAGCGGCUCGACAUCGAGACAGUUGUUAAAGCGGAGGAUCGCAAGACCUCGCGCCUGAAGAGAAGCCUGCGGCGGANAGUCUAGUUGGUAGGGUAAUGGCCUACCAAGGCGACGAUCUGUAACCGGCCUGAGAGGGCGGUCGGUCACACUGACACUGACA
rnacentral:rRNA from 1 species